UACGAAGGGGGCUAGCGUUGCUCGGAAUGACUGGGCGUAAAGGGCGCGUAGGCGGUUUGCACAGUCAGGCGUGAAAUUCCUGGGCUUAACCUGGGGGCUGCGCUUGAUACGUGUGGACUGGAGUGCGGAAGAGGGUCGUGGAAUUCCCAGUGUAGAGGUGAAAUUCGUAGAUAUUGGGAAGAACACCGGUGGCGAAGGCGGCGACCUGGUCCGGUACUGACGCUGAGGUGCGAAAGCGUGGGGAGCAAACAGG
rnacentral:rRNA from 1 species